rnacentral:rRNA from 1 species
AUGCAAGUCGAACGAUGAAGUUCCUUCGGGAAUGGAUUAGUGGCGAACGGGUGAGUAACACGUGGGCAACCUGCCCCUGACUUUGGGAUAACGCUUCGAAAGAGGUGCUAAUACCGGAUAUGAGCUCCCUUGGCAUCUUGGGGGCUGGAAAGUUUUUCGGUCAGGGAUGGGCCCGCGGCCUAUCAGCUUGUUGGUGAGGUAAUGGCUCACCAAGGCGACGACGGGUAGCCGGCCUGAGAGGGCGACCGGCCUCACUGGGACUGAGACACGGCCCAGACUCC